AACGAACGCUGGCGGCAUGCCUAACACAUGCAAGUCGAACGGUAACGCGGGGCAACCUGGCGACGAGUGGCGAACGGGUGAGUAAUGCAUCGGAACGUGCCCAGUAGUGGGGGAUAGCCCGGCGAAAGCCGGAUUAAUACCGCAUACGACCUACGGGUGAAAGGGGGGGAUCGCAAGACCUCUCGCUAUUGGAGCGGCCGAUGUCAGAUUAGCUAGUUGGUGGGGUAAAGGCCUACCAAGGCGACGAUCUGUAGCUGGUCUGAGAGGACGACCAGCCACACUGGGACUGAGACACGGCCCAGACUCCUACGGGAGGCAGCAGUGGGGAAUUUUGGACAAUGGGCGCAAGCCUGAUCCAGCCAUGCCGCGUGUGGGAAGAAGGCCUCGGUUGUAA
rnacentral:rRNA from 1 species